AUACUUGAACUAUACUUAAGUAUACUUAAUAAAAUAAACUUCAAGUAUACUACUUUUUGGUAAGAGUUGGCCGGAAUAGGCUGUACAUUUUGCCAUUAAUGCAAAAUUGUGUUGUGGUGUUAAUGAUAACAAUUACCCGCACAGGAAUCAGCACCUUCUUUGUACUCAUCACAAAAUGAACCUGAACCAGGAACCAACUCUGAGGCAACUCCAUCUGUAGUCAUUGACUUUACUGAUUUUACAAACCAGGAGCUUAUUGGCAACACAGAGGACACUGCAAACAGCACAUUUUGAACUAGUAUGUUCAGAGCCUGUGUUGAUCAUUUGUUUCUCAUAAUAUUUAAUUCAGAUAAUUUUUGUUGUGUUAAUAGGUCUUGCAGCAGUGGCGAUCUUUACGGCAAGAACAAGACAAAGAAUUUGAACAGUCUUUAAAGGCAGACAGAGCAAAGAGAUGAGACGCCAAUAAUCAGAGGCACAGGAAACGAGUUGACUAAAGGCAUUUGAAGACAGACAGAAGAGGAUAGCAAGUCACGAGGAGCCCAUUGAUGGUGUGCCCAUCAAAUUCAAGUUUCCUCAUGGAACCAAAAAAAUUCAUCUUGUCAGAGACAAUUCAGAUCUUCAGAUCUUAUUUGACUUUGUUGGUCAGGAUGACCUGUCCAGUGAAGUGUUUUAUGUUCAAGAUGCGACAUCAUCUGCAGCUCUUAAAAAUAACCUUAGAAACACUGAAUGAUUACAACAUCAAGGGUCAUUUAACUCUUUAUGUUGUUUGGAUUUCACCACUAGAUUCCCAUGUGAGUAACACUUAUGUAUAGUUUCUGAAACUAGUUUAGGUUUACACACUACAAAUUUGAAAUCGGAAAUUUAACACCAAUAGAGUUAAAUUUAACACUUUGUCAGUGUAUAUGUCACAGUCCGGGGCAAGCCGGAACCUUACACCCUGCCCCUAUACCACCUCGAGGAGCUAUCAGAGUACACCAGAGACGAGACAGAUCUAUAGAAAAGUACAAAGUUUGUCUAUUUAAUUAAAAGUAAUUUUCCCAACUAAAACAUUGCUCGUCGACCUCUUCUUCUCCUCAGAAUCCUGGUACUCCUCCUCUUUAUUACUGGAUCGGCUUCAAAAGUUAAGCAGGCAGGGGGUAGCUCUUGUCAUUAACAGGGCAGCUCCAGGGCGGACAAGGUAGGUAUGCGGGUAUGGCUCUUCUUCCAAGCAGACCAGAGCAGUGAAGGAGAGAUGACUUCCUGUUUCCAACAAUAAGCUCCAGGCCAAAUAAUGGUGAGUAUGCAAGUCCGGAUGUCACGUCUUCAACAAUCGACUCCCAGCCAGACAAUGGGGAGUAUGCAGAUAUGGCUCCUAUCAUUGGCGGGGCAACUCCAGGCCAAACAAGUUGGAUAUGCAGAUAUGGUUCCUCUUCCAAACGGACCAGAACAGCGAGAGAGAGAGAUGACUUCACAUGUUCGACAAUUGGCUCCAGGCCCGAUAAUGGUAAGUGUGCGGUACGGCUCCUAUCGUUGCCAAGGCAGCUCCAGACCAGACAAAGUAAGUAGGUGGGUAUGGCUCUUCUUCCAGGCCGUCAGGGAAGCAGGGGAUGCAUAACUCACAGCUCUGUAUGAUACACUCAAACACUGAUUAAUGAAACCUGUUGCCCAACUCACAUCAUUAAAGGGGCAGCUCCAGGCCGGACCAGGUAGGUAUACGGGUAUGGCUCCUCUUCCAGGUAGACCAGACCAGCAAGGGAGGGAUGAGUUCAUGUAUUCAACAGUUGUCUCCAGUCCCGAUAAUGGUAAGUGUACGGUACGGCUCCUAUCGUUGCCAAGGCAGCUCCAGACCGGACGAGGUAAGUAUGCGGGUAUGGCUCUUCUUCCAGGCCGUCAGGGAAGCAGGGGAUGCAUAACUCACAGCUCUGUAUGAUACACUCAAACACUGAUUAAUAAAACCCAUUGCCCCCUCCCCCUCUAGGAUGGGGAACAAAUCAGGUCGAAGGCACGAACACCAGCGGGACGCUACACUCUCCACACUCUUGUAUUCAGCAAGACACUUCAAAAACUUCCACACAUGUAAAUCUACUCCAUAAGCACUACAAUCCACACACUCAGUGAAUUAAGGCCUUCGCUCGUGGCUCCAACCCGGUUCCUCGUCCUUGAAGGUAAGGAGGUUUCGUGGGCGACCAGAAAUAUAAUUGUCAGGGGACAGCACUGGAUACAGGAACUAGAUCUUCGUCCUCCACACCUUCCACUCAGAAACAGCACAACAGAUAACCAGCUGUAGACAGAGCAGCGGGGAAGAGGAACAGCUACAGACACCCUUGCAUCAAGAGGUUAGAAUAUCACCAUGUGGAUUAGGAACAAAACAAUCAUCGCACGGAUGCAGAAAGACCAGAACAGAAUAUCCAGCUUCAAGAGAGUUAUAACUCAAAGACAGUGAGAGUGGUAAGCAACCACAAACAUGCUGACAUUAAGGGUUUAGACCUUCAUAGUAUUUAGCUUCCAGCCAACGAGCAUCCGAUCAUCACAUCCAAAUGGGGACAACAAGCUUCAAAGACCCAUAUAGGAGGUAAACGUGGUACUUAACUUGUUCCCAGUAUGCAUGUGCAAGUUCUCCAGUCCCUGUAUGUCCUUUUUUUUGUAGAAAAGACGUUACCUCCUAUCCACAGCUUGUAGAAAAUCCGUUUUCAUCACGCUUCCCCUCUUCCCCUCUUCCCCUCUUCCCCUCUUCCCCUCUUCCCGACCUCUCGCUCUCUCGCUCUCUCACGCUAGUCUCUCCCGCAAACCCCGUGCUUUUCCUUUGGCCGCAAAGUCCUUUUAUAAGCCGCAUUCCCGUUACUUGCCCCAAUCACCGAUCGCCGCCCUCUCAUCACACACCUGUUAUUCAUUUCUUUAUUUGAUCUGGGUGUCUGAGCACCGCUCACGGGGCAACCGGAACCGACCAGGUGUCACACCGGAACCAUUCCGACCGGGAAACAUCCUCAACGAAAAGUGGUUCCGCCUGUCAUUCAUCACCCCGUGACAUAUAUAUGGAUACCACCACAGGAGUGUUAAAGUAACACUUUCAUAAGUGUUGACACUUUCAACACCAAUACGGUGUUAAAAUGUAACACUAUUGGAGUUAAAUAACAACACUGCAAUAAGUGUUUUAAACACAACAACAACAACAAACAUUUUAUAUAUAGAGAGAGAGAGAGAAAGAGAGGGAGAGAGAGAGAGAAAUUAAUCCACAAAACAAUGCAUGUUUACACUUAUUUAUUUUAAUUGAAACAUUCUAACUUUUUCACUGCACCAAAAUGUCUUCAGAUUCAGUGUUUUCAAUACAUAUAAAGAACAUACUUUACAACAAUUAAAACAAUGUCAAAGCAAAUCAGUGCAAAGGCACAAAAAAACGUAUUUGGUCCAUAUGUAUUCUCAAUUUAAUCAGGUUUAUAGUGCUUACAUUUAUCUGCUUAAACCACAGCAUCUCAUUCAUCACCAUCAACCAUGAAUGCAGGGCCAUACUUAGCUGAUUCGUGGCCCGGUGCGAAGUAGGGAGCGUUCCCGGGUUGGCGGAGGGGGGACUCAUUCAGUGAGUUGCACCCCCCUAAAAACGGCCCUGGCUGAAUGUAUGUUACUGAUCACUGAACAAAGUCUGUGCCAAUGAAUGGCGUUUGGACCUCCUUGGAGAAAGUAGUCUCUUUCUUUUUUUCAGGACGACACGAUGUGGUUCUCUGCAGUUUCCAGCUAAGCAAGAAAUCCACUCUUACUUGCAGCAUCACAAAAGUGAUUCUGUAAAAUUGGGGAGGAAAAAACAGAAUCAUUUCACAUCCAUUUAUCAAAAAUAUUAUUAACAGGUGAAAUAUCAGAGACAAGUAUCAAUUACAAUACAAUAAUAUUUCACUCAAAACAUUUACCCAAAAAUUCUGUCAUAUUUUUUUUAUCCUCAUGUGGGUCCAAACCUGUAUGACAUACAUGUCUUACAUGGUGUCGGUGCUAACGGCAUAAGUAAAUAACAAUUCAGGUGAACAAUUUGUUUUAAGGGUUAUUUCACCCCCAAAAAUAAAAAAUGAUCAUUUGAUCAUCAUUUAAUUACCUGACUGUUGGUCUCUGUGCAUGAAUGUGCGUUCAUGAGAAUCUAUUAGCAAAGCAAUUCAAUCUAACUCAACUAGGAAAAGCACACAAGUUGUGAACAAUCAAGAUUAAUAAAAACAUAGCAUGAAAUACAAUAUAUGUGCUUUUUUCUCUGAGGUAAAUACAUCUGCUGUGCUCGUUGCAACAGGAAGUUAUCACAAUCAUCUGUCAGCUGUCAUUUUGACAGUCAUAACAACCGAAGCUCCAGUCCGGAGUCAGUGAUAAAGAUUCAACUCAGUGAAGAAAGUAUAAAGUUAUUUCACCUCAUCCUUUUCCAACCAGCUUGCAUCACCACAUGAACAAACUACUUCUUUGCCACUGAAUGAUUGUCAUUCCCCAUCACCCCCAAACUGGUCACCUGCUUCUUCAACUGCGCAAUGGUCAACUGCUUCUUCACCUUCUCACAUAUAUCACUGGUCACCUGAACGCUCUCUUCCCACUCAGCCAUCCUCUGUAACAACUGAAAAUUGUGAAAAUAUUUCGGAUCAGUUUGUUGUCAUAUUUAAAAGGAAUUUUAAGCAAUUAACCUUUUCAGACACAUUCAGGUUAAAAUGUUUUACUCUUUUGUGUUUUAGAGUUGAUCUGCAGAUGAUUUUGAAGAAGCUUCAUAGCAGAGUUGAUCUCUCAUGUUGUCAUACAAGCAAUCAGAUAAAUGUAUGUUGAGACAGCAUAUUACAAGGUAGCCUGCAAGCUUUCAAGCGAAGGCACUUUAAUCCAGAAGCAAGGCUGGAUUUGAUUUUUGUGGACUCUGAUGGGGUUGGAGAAGGAGCUGUAGAUGAAGGUGGACCGGCCAGGGAAUUCCUACGCUUGCUAAUGAGGGAAAUCCAGAGGUCCAAAAUAUUUGAAGGACUGGAUGACAAAAGACUACUGGCUCUUGAUACUCAUGAUUAAAGAAGCAGACUCUGUGUUUGUUUCUGGAGCCUCAUCUGUGCCUCCACUAGGAUUCCCCAAUCACCAAAAAUCUAAUUUCUUCAUACAUCUGGUCAAGACACCAGAGUAUUUCCAGAAGCCAACACAUAUGCCUUAUUGUUCUUAGACUUCCAAUUCACAGUACUUAUGAAUCUUUUGGAACCUACAUGGCCGAAGGUAUUUUGCAGUCACCAACUUUCGGCACCAUGUAAUAAUUCAUGUACCUUGUUCAUGUAAGGGUGAUGAACGAAAUACUUCAUGUUUCAACACAGUUUCACAAGUUAAUGAAAUAAUCCUCUUAACACUACUUCACUCUUAUGCCAUUUUAAACAAGUUUUACAGUCACUGUGUUUACUGUUAUUGUUGUACUAUUCUUACCUUUAAUGUUAGUUUUUGUUAACAAUUGUAGAUACACAUUUUGUUUCAUUUACUCGAUUUAUCAACAUCAAUUAUAUUCCUUGAAAUUGAAAAAGUACACAACAGUAACUAAAACAGUGGAAAGAGAUGGAAAGUGGAAAGAGAUGUAUGGAAUUCACGAAUCAUGUUCACGGAUGAGGAAAAUAAUUUGCAGGGACAUCUUGUGGACGUCAUCAUCUGGAUCAAGGACCUCGGAAUCCUCUAGACUGUGGAACAAAUUGAAGUAGUACUGAAGCAAAUGGAGGAAAACAUCUCUCCAAAGGCACUCUAUGCGCUGAUUGUGAACAGAUUCUCCUGUUAUGUAACUCCUCCGUUCCACCCCUUGAAUGAGAUUCAUGAAGAGGGCAAUUUGUGAAUCCCCCACAAAUUAUAUUUUUAAUCAUAUGAAAAAAAAAAAAAAAAAAAAAAACA